GACGAACCGUGCGAACGUUGUUCGGAAUCACUGGGCUUAAAGGGCGCGUAGGCGGGUCAGCAAGUCCGGGGUGAAAUCUUUCGGCUCAACCGGAAAAGUGCCUCGGAUACUGCUGGUCUUGAGGGAGGUAGGGGUUUGUGGAACUUCUGGUGGAGCGGUGAAAUGCGUUGAUAUCAGAAGGAACGCCGGUGGCGAAAGCGACGAACUGGACCUCUUCUGACGCUGAGGAGCGAAAGCCAGGGGAGCAAACGGG
rnacentral:rRNA from 1 species